rnacentral:rRNA from 1 species
UACGUAGGGGGCUAGCGUUGUCCGGAAUCAUUGGGCGUAAAGCGCGUGUAGGCGGCCCGCUAAGUCCGCUGUGAAAGUCCAGGGCUCAACCCUGGGAUGCCGGUGGAUACUGUCGGGCUCGAGUCCGGAAGAGGCGAGUGGAAUUCCUGGUGUAGCGGUGAAAUGCGCAGAUAUCAGGAGGAACACCAAUGGCGAAGGCAGCUCGCUGGGACGUGACUGACGCUGAGACGCGAAAGCGUGGGGAGCAAACAGG